rnacentral:rRNA from 1 species
AUGAUGGCGGCAACGAACGGGCUAUUCCAUGCUUCUGCCCACAAGCCCCUGUUUACCUUUGGUGUCAUUGCAGAUGUCCAGUACGCCGACAUCCCGGACGGGCACUCUUUCGCUGGCAUCCCGCGCUACUACCGUCACAGCAUCGACGUCCUCCAGAGCGCUGUGAGUGCGUGGAACAAGCAAGGUGGUGUCGAGUUCUCCAUCAACUUCGGUGACAUCGUCGACGGGAAAUGCCCAAAGGACAAGUCGUUGUGGGCGGUGCAGAAGGUCCUCGGCGAGUUUGAGAAGUUCGAAGGCCCGACCUACCACAUGUUUGGCAACCAUUGCCUCUACAAUCUUCCUCGGAGCGAGCUAGUGGCUUUGAUGAAGAUGCCAACGGGUUCUGACCGUGCUUACUAUGACUUCUCGCCGUGUCAUGAGUACAGAUUUGUUGUUCUGGAUGCUUAUGACUUCAGCACGCUUGGCUGGCCUCGUGAUCAUCCAGUGACUGCAGCAGCAAUGAGGCUCCUUGAAGAAAAGAACCCAAACACCGACAAGAACAGCCCCGAGGGUCUGGUGGGCGUCGACCAGCGGUUCGUGAUGUUCAAUGGCGCGGUUGGAAAGGAGCAGCUGUCCUGGCUCAGUGAUGUCCUACGGGAUGCAUCGGAGCGUCGGCAGAAUGUGGUCUUGUGCAGUCACCUCCCAUUGGAUCCUGUAGCAGCGUCCCCGGUAUGCCUCAUGUGGAAUUAUGAUGAGGUGAUGGCUGUUGUUCGACAGUACAACUGUGUUAAGGCCUGCUUCGCCGGGCACGACCACAAAGGUGGCUACUCUGUGGACUCCCACGGCGUGCACCAUCGCACCCUUGAGGCGGCGCUGGAGUGUCCUCCCGGCACCAGUGCGUUUGGGCACAUCGAAGCAUAUCCUGACAAGCUAUUGCUUGUAGGCUCUGAUGGAAUGGCGGACACUGAAAUGUGUUUUUGA